rnacentral:tRNA from 1 species
GGUGCUGUACCCAAGGGGCUAAGGGGCAGGUCUGCAAAACCUUUACCGGCGGUUCGAGUCCGCCCGGCACCU